rnacentral:rRNA from 1 species
AGCAGUAGCCGCGGGAAUACGUAGGGUGCAAGCGUUGUCCGGAAUUAUUGGGCGUAAAGAGCUCGUAGGCGGUUUGUCGCGUCUGCUGUGAAAUCCCGAGGCUCAACCUCGGGCUUGCAGUGGGUACGGGCAGACUAGAGUGCGGUAGGGGAGAUUGGAAUUCCUGGUGUAGCGGUGGAAUGCGCAGAUAUCAGGAGGAACACCGAUGGCGAAGGCAGAUCUCUGGGCCGUAACUGACGCUGAGGAGCGAAAGCGUGGGGAGCGAACAGGAUUAGAUACCCCUGUAGUCCCUGUCUCUUAUAC